rnacentral:misc_RNA from 1 species
AUGGAUUUACAGAGGGUUGAUGCUGGCAGUUUAUCUGCAUGUGCUCACUCUUCUGAUUUUAUUUACACCUGUGCAUUUAAUUUUCUUUCAAGGGUCAGGGUAGAACCUGCCUUUGGAACUUAUAAACCCCCUAUAUUGAACCAAUGGAUGUUUAUCUGCCACAAGGCAAAUUUUAAUA